AUUGAACGCUGGCGGCAGGCCUAACACAUGCAAGUCGAACGGUAACAGGAAGCAGCUUGCUGCUUUGCUGACGAGUGGCGGACGGGUGAGUAAUGUCUGGGAAACUGCCCGAUGUAGGGGGAUAACUACUGGAAACGGUAGCUAAUACCGCAUAACGUCGCAAGACCAGAGAGGGGGAGCUUAUGGCCUCUUGCCAUCGUGUAUGCCCAGAUGGGAUUAGCUAGUAGGUGGGGUAACGGCUCACCUAGGCGACGAUCCCUAGCUGGUCUGAGAGGAUGAGCAGCCACACUGGAACUGAGACACGGUCCAGACUCCUACGGGAGGCAGCAGUGGGGAAUAUUGCACAAUGGGCGCAAGCCUGAUGCAGCCAUGCCGCGUGUAUGAAGAAGGCCUUCGGGUUGUAAAGUCCUUUUAGCGGGGAGGAAGGGAGUAAGGUUAAUACCUUGGCUCAUUGACGGUACCCGCAGAAGAAGCACCGGCUAACUCCGUG
rnacentral:rRNA from 1 species